rnacentral:rRNA from 1 species
UGCGUAGGCGGAUUAAUAAGUCAGUGGUGAAAUCUUUCGGCUCAACCGAGAAACUGCCAUUGAUACUGUUAAUCUUGAGUUCGGUUGAGGUAGGCGGAAUGUGUAAUGUAGCGGUGAAAUGCUUAGAUAUUACACAGAACACCAAUUGCGUAGGCAGCUUACUAGACCGACACUGACGCUGAGGCACGAAAGCGUGGGGAGCGAACAGGAUUAGAUACCCGAGUAGUCC